UAACACAUACAAGUUGAAUAGGAAGUCGAGUUUCUAGUGGCGAGCGGGUGACUAACACAUAAGAACUUGCCCUUGGGAGGGGAACUACAAUCAUAAAUGAUUGCUAAUGCCCUGUAAGUUGAGGAGCAAAAAGAGGAAUUCACUUGAGGAGGAGCUCACAUCUAAUUAGCUAGUCCAUGAGGAUGAUCAACCACAUUGGGAUUAAGACUCCUAUAAGAGACAGCAAUGA
rnacentral:ncRNA from 1 species